CGGCGGACGGGUGAGUAACACGUGGAUAACCUACCUAUAAGACUGGGAUAACUUCGGGAAACCGGAGCUAAUACCGGAUAAUAUAUUGAACCGCAUGGUUCAAUAGUGAAAGACGGUUUUGCUGUCACUUAUAGAUGGAUCCGCGCCGCAUUAGCUAGUUGGUAAGGUAACGGCUUACCAAGGCAACGAUGCGUAGCCGACCCGAGAGGGUGAUCGGCCACACUGGAACUGAGACACGGUCCAGACUCCUACGGGAGGCAGCAGCC
rnacentral:rRNA from 1 species